rnacentral:rRNA from 1 species
UACGUAGGGAGCUAGCGUUGUCCGGAAUCAUUGGGCGUAAAGCGCGCGUAGGCGGCCUCAUAAGUCCGCUGUAAAAGUCAAAGGCUCAACCUUUGAAUGCCGGUGGAUACUGUGAGGCUAGAGUCCGGAAGAGGCGAGUGGAACUCCUGGUGUAGCGGUGGAAUGCGCAGAUAUCAGGAAGAACACCAACGGCGAAGGCAGCUCGCUGGGACGGUACUGACGCUGAGGCGCGAAAGCGUGGGGAGCAAACAGG